CAAUCCUUGGAUGGCCAGAGCUGCAGAACUGACCAGCCAGCAAGCUCGGUUGAAGGGACACUUGAGGUGAUAGCUAACAUAGCAGAACAAAUUUCAAACAUUUUCACAUUUUCAUUGCUUUUCCUAUGUAGAAACAGUUAAAUGAGGCUCCAGAAGCCGAAAAUCAGGAAUGAAAGUUUUCAGAUACUGCUAGUUCCUGAUGUAAAGAGAUCUGGGUGAGCUCCCACAGGCAACUGCUGGUAAUGGGGGAAACACAGUCAUCUAUUUACUAAGUGCCUGAUUCAAAGUUCAUGAAUGGGAAUUGUUCCCUUGGCUGCAGUGUGCCCCUAAAAACAACAUUUAAAAAUGGAAUUUCAGUAGUGGGCAGGCCUGAAGUUCUCGUGUUGGGGCAGGGUCCUGCUGGCAUUGUACCAAAAUGUUACCAGCUAGUGCAGGCCUCCUCGGCAGGAUGAAUUACAGAAUUUUGAGCCAGUGCCUGAUGCUGCUACUGGUUUUCCACUGGUCUCCAAAAAUAGCAGAAGCCCAAGAACAUAGAACCGUUGGUACGGGCUCUUCAGUGCUGUUGACUGCAUUGCCCAUCAAUGACCAAACAGUCAUAAAACAUAUACUGUGGGAAUGCAUAAGUAGUGCCCAAACUCCCAGUAUUGUGGAUUACUAUGGAACUGGAACAGAACCUAUUAUCUCUAAUUCCUAUAAAGACAGAAUCAUUUUCUAUUCAUCCAAUGGCUCCCUCUUGUUGAAAAACGUACAAGAGACAGACAGCGGGACCUACAGAGCUACCGUCAAUUUGAACAAAAUUGAAGCCAGGCAAACUACACUGCUAGUCUUAGAGCCUAUGUCCAAAGCUCAGAUCCAGAUAAAUUCUACUGUGGCUGGUUCAUCCAUUGAAUUAUCCUGCAAGGUGCUGGUUGGCAAAGUGCAAGCUAUUGACUGGAAGAAAGAUGGGAAGCCCCUACCCAGGAACAGAUGUUACCAGGUCUCUGAAAACUUCAGUCUUUUGUACAUACCAGAAGUGCAGAAAUCAGAUUGUGGAUCCUUUUCCUGCAAUGCCAGCAAUGAUAUAAGCUGGCAGGAAACCUCAGUGAAUUUGACCAUUGAAGGUAUCAUGCCUUCACUAAAGCAUGCACUGAAAAUUUCUACUGUUGCUCUUGCUAUUGCAAUAACAUUGGCUGCUGGAUCUGGAUUGGGCUUCAUUAUCUUGUGCUGUCAAUCGGAAAAGAAAAAAAUUACGGGAGAGCUGUGGAGAUGGCUUAUCGUAUUCAUCCAUGGGCUGGUGUGUGUCUCGGCCAUCCUGAUGUUCACUGCUGCUGUCUUCUGGAUAUGGGAAGAAGGUCUCUCCACAGCCCUUGUAUUGUAUAUGAUCUUCCUCACGUGGGUGAUCGUGGUAACGCUUCUCAUAAGUGUGGUCUUGGCAAUUUGUCCCCAACACCUUGAGAUGUUUAAAAAGAAAACAAUGUACCGUGUCAUUCUGGAUACUGCAGCUCUUGGGGGAGUGAUUCUAGUUGUGUUGUUUGCCAUCUUCCUUACACAGAACAUCCAGCACCUCCAAAGAAAAGGCUGCUCACCAUUUUUUGACAACACAGCUGCCAUCCUUAUCACUGCUGCAAUUUCUCUCCUUAUUCUUCUAGCGCCCUUUGUGUGGUAUCACAGGGAAAAAAAAAGCCAAGAAAAGUAUCAGCAAGAAAGAAAAGUAAGGAUGCAAUGUCCCAGAAAACCUUUUCAUUGGACUUGAAAAGCUGAGAAUUUCUGGAAGCAAAAUGUAAUGAAAUAAGAUGGACUGUAGCCAGGACGGUGGGAUCAGCUCUGCUGCUUUUCCAGUGGCACUCUUUCCAUUUUUCAUGACCUGGCAGAGAGGAGUUGUGAAUUUUGCAUCUGCUCUGGAUGACAAUGCAUCUAGGAACACAAUGCCUCCAACACCAUGCUUGGCCAUCAGUGCAGUUCUGACAUCAGGCUAGAUUGUAGAGGUGGCAAUACUCGAUUUCUUGCACAGCCCCCUGCAACUCAGCAAUAGCCUCUUUGUCUUGGAAGGAAUUGUAUCCCAUACAGAAACACCAAUGCUAGUUCUGGCAGCACCUGUUUUCUUCCUGGAGCUGCUCUCAUCACGAGCUCUCGUUCCCUCUGCUGUCUGACGAGGUGUCGUGCCUAAGCUCCUGGAAGAUGUCCCUUUGUUGUCCAGACCUGGAGCUAUGACAGUCCUUGGAUGGCCAGAGCUGCAGAACUGACGAGCCAGCAAGCACGGUUAAAGGGACACUUGAGGUGAUGGCUAACACAGCUGAACAAAUUUCAAACAUUUUUACAUUUUCAUUGCUUUCCUAUGUAGAUACCGUUAAAUGAGGCUCCAGAAGCCGAAAGCCAGGAAUGAAAGGUAUGUAUCCUCUAGGUCAGUGGUUCUCAGGUGGGAUCAUGAGGCAGUAUUAAGAGUAUCAGAACUUAGGAUACAACAUGGUUUCUGCUUAAAACUGAAUUUUUAGUCCUCCCUACAAACAAAGAUACAAUGAUCUGCUUGAGAUUUGAAAUGCUCGUUCAAGACCCAGGGUAGAGUUUAUAAUACAAAUUUGGAGUCUCAUAGCCAUGUGUUUGUGACAUACAGCCACCCUCAAAACAGAACCCAUGAAAAUAAGGUCAUUUUUUGUGUGUAAGAGAUAAGGAUUGAUCAUGAGACAAGAGAUACCUGGAGGGAAGAUGAUCUCUUCUCCCCCUGCUUCCCCUCUCUCCCCCGAACACUUUGUUCUAGAAGAAAGUCACUUACAGAACAAUGGGGGCUGCGGGAAGCGGCGCAGGCUGAGGGAUGUGCUGGCCACCACUUCCCGCAGCCCCCAUUGACCUGGAAUGGUGACCCGCGGUCAGUGGGAACGAUUGGCCGAAUCUGCAGAUGCUGCAGGUAAACAAACCAUCCCAGCUCGCCAGUGGAUUUCCCUGAUGGGCCGUGUUCCAAAGAUUGCUGUAGACUGGUUGGCCGGGGCUCGUUCACCUACAGGGCGGCGGGGAGCCAGACUGCCUCACUACUUUGAUCAGGUGUGUCAGGGAAUUAGCUCGGCUGUGCGGUAAACAGUCAGCAGCUCCGGCCCUCUGGCAGGGGCUGAGCAAACAGUUCAAUAUUAGCAAGCCCAGGCCCUGGGUCAGGACGGGGCAACAAACAAACAGUCAGAACAGCAAACCCCAGGCUCCUGGCUCUGAGCAGCCAGGGAGAGGGGGA